CCUACGGGAGGCAGCAGUGGGGAAUAUUGCACAAUGGGGUUAACCCUGAUCCAGCGACGCCGCGUGAGUGAAGAAGUAUCUCGGUAUUUUAAGCUCUAUCAGCAGGGAAGAAAAUGACGGUACCUGACUAAGAAGCCCCGGCUAACUACGUGCCAGCAUCCGCUGUAAUACGUAGGGGGCCAGCGUUAUCCGGAUUUAAUGGGUGUAAAGGGAGCGUAGGCGGCGCUGCAAGUCCCGAGUGAAAGCCCAUGGCAUAGCCAUGGUACUGCUUUGGAAACUGCGGAGCUUGAGUGCGGGAGGGGCAGGCGGAAUUCCUGGUGUAGCGGUGAAAUGCGUAGAGAUUAGGAGGAACACCGGCGGCGAAGGCGGCCUGCUGGACCGUAACUGACGUUGAGGCUCGAAAGCGUGGGGAGCAAACAGGAUUAGAUACCCGGGUAGUC
rnacentral:rRNA from 1 species